GGGCAUGUAGUAUAGGGGUUAUUGCGCUUGCUUCGCACUUCGUUGUCCGACGGGUCGGGAACGUAAUGCUUGGGUUCAAUUCCCAAUGCGUCCA